UAGACAUGCAAGUCGAACGGACUUUCGGGCUUGCUCUGAAAGUUAGUGGCGGACGGCUGAGUAACGCGUGGGUGACCUACCCCGAAGUGGGGAAUAACUGCCCGAAAGGGUGGCUAAUACCGCAUGUGAUCGUUUGUUCAUUCGAUCGAUCAAAGCAGCAAUGCGCUUCGGGAGGGGCCUGCGUCCGAUUAGCUCGUUGGUGGGGUAAUGGCUCACCAAGGCGACGAUCGGUAGGUGGUCUGAGAGGACGAUCACCCAGACUGGGACUGAGACACGGCCCAGACUCCUACGGGAGGCAGCAGUCGGGAAUUUUGCUCAAUGGGCGCAAGCCUGAAGCAGCAACGCCGCGUGAGGGAUGAAGGCCUUCGGGUUGUAAACCUCUUUUAUCAGGGAAGAUUAUGACGGUACCUGAAGAAUAAGCCACGG
rnacentral:rRNA from 1 species